rnacentral:rRNA from 13 species
GAUGUGAAAUCCCCGGGCUCAACCUGGGAACUGCAUUUGUGACUGCAUAGCUAGAGUACGGUAGAGGGGGAUGGAAUUCCGCGUGUAGCAGUGAAAUGCGUAGAUAUGCGGAGGAACACCGAUGGCGAAGGCAAUCCCCUGGGCCUGUACUGACGCUCAUGCACGAAAGCGUGGGGAGCAAACAGGAUUAGAUACCCUGGUAGUCCACGCCGUAAACGAUGUG